rnacentral:rRNA from 1 species
GACGUAGGGCGCGAGCGUUGUCCGGAUUUAUUGGGCGUAAAGAGCUCGUAGGCGGCUUGUCGCGUCGACUGUGAAAUCCCGCGGCUCAACCGCGGGUCUGCAGUCGAUACGGGGCAGGCUAGAGUUCGGUAGGGGGAGACUGGAAUUCCUGGUGUAGCGGUGAAAUGCGCAGAUAUCAGGAGGAACACCGAUGGCGAAGGCAGGUCUCUGGGCCGAUACUGACGCUGAGGAGCGAAAGCGUGGGGAGCGAACAGG